CUGUGUUCUCAGGGCGGGGUGAAAUUCCCCACCGGCGGUUAAAGCCCGCGAGCGCCCAUCAAAAGUGGGGUCAGCAGAUCCGGUGAAAUUCCGGGGCCGACGGUUAAAGUCCGGAUGAAAGAGAACGUUC
rnacentral:ncRNA from 2 species